UCUCCACAACCUUCAUUCUCUGAACAUGAGAGUUCUUCACGGGCCAGCAUUCCGCCCCAUUCAACAUCGCAGGUCUAACCACGGCUCUGUAGAAUGUCCCCUUGAGUUUGUGUGGAAUUUUCUUGUUGCACAGGACCCCUGAAGCAAGCCUCCACUUUGACCACCCCGCUCCUAUCCGAUGUGUGACGUCCCCGUCAAUCUCUCCGUCCCCCUGAAUCACAGACCCAAGAUAUCGGACACUGUCCCUCUUGGCGAUGGCCUGAGAACCAAGCAUCACCCUUUCCACCUAGUCUCCUGGACGCACGCUAUGUUAACCCUCUUCUUCUGAAAAGCCUUCGCCAACUCUAUGGACUUACCCGUCAGAGUGCCUAUGUUCCAUGACCCAAUCCUUAAUCAAUGGGCGUCCGCUGCCC
rnacentral:lncRNA from 1 species